rnacentral:rRNA from 1 species
GACGAACCGAGCGAACGUUAUUCGGAAUCACUGGGCUUAAAGGGCGCGUAGGCGGGCCGUCAAGUCGAGGGUGAAAUCCCCCAGCUCAACUGGGGAAGUGCCUCCGAUACUGGCGGCCUCGAGGGGGAUAGGGGCAUGCGGAACUUCCGGUGGAGCGGUGAAAUGCGUAGAUAUCGGAAGGAACACCGGUGGCGAAAGCGGCGUGCUGGAUCCCUUCUGACGCUGAGGCGCGAAAGCCAGGGGAGCGGACGGG